UGGGGAAUAUUGCACAAUGGGCGAAAGCCUGAUGCAGCAACGCCGCGUGAGUGAUGAAGGCCUUCGGGUUGUAAAGCUCUGUCUUUUGGGACGAUAAUGACGGUACCAAAGGAGGAAGCCACGGCUAACUACGUGCCAGCAGCCGCGGUAAUACGUAGGUGGCAAGCGUUGUCCGGAUUUACUGGGCGUAAAGGAUGCGUAGGCGGAUCUUUAAGUGAGAUGUGAAAUACCCGGGCUUAACUUGGGUGCUGCAUUUCAAACUGGGAAUCUAGAGUGCGGGAGAGGAGAAUGGAAUUCCUAGUGUAGCGGUGAAAUGCGUAGAGAUUAGGAAGAACACCAGUGGCGAAGGCGAUUCUCUGGACCGUAACUGACGCUGAGGCAUGAAAGCGUGGGUAGCAAACAGGAUUAGAUACCCUGGUAGUCCACGCCGUAAACGAUGAGUACUAGGUGUAGGAGGUAUCGACCCCUUCUGUGCCGCAGUUAACACAAUAAGUACUCCGCCUGGGAAGUACGAUCGCAAGAUUAAAAC
rnacentral:rRNA from 1 species